GUAGAAGAAAAUGUUAUAUUAUAUCUACGUGUUUAAAAGUUUCCUUCAUUUAAGUCCAAAGAGGCUGGCUGGCUGAUGCUAAGGAAGGAAGAAAGGGGUGGUGUUUAGGGGUCUGGGAUGGAAAGCGAGUGAUGUGUUUUGUAGCCUUCAGAUAAAAAAUAUUAACAAAGUUUACACAGUGGGAAAAUUUUGGUGGUGAGAGAGAAAAUGACUAAAAUAUUACCUCAAAUUUAACCAAACGUGGUGGAGCUUCACACUCCUCAUCUGACCCUAAUCAAACCAAGCCUAACCCAAAGAAGCCUACCCUAACUUCUGUCUGGUGCUUCCUCCUCCCCAAGACUGGCUAUCUCGUGUCUUAAUCUCAAGCUGGCCUAACCAAACUUUACCUAACCUAACCUAAGCAAUUCUAACCUAGCCAAACCUUACUUAAGCAAGCCUAACCUAGCCAAGCCUUACCUAACCUAACCUAACCUAGCCAAACCUUACCUAAGCAAGCCUAACCUAGCCAAGCCUUACCUAACCUAACCUAACCUCACCUAACCUAACCUAAAGAAACCUAGCCAAACUUAACAUAACCUAGCCUAACCAAACCUAACCUAACCUACAUCCUCUUCCCACGGCCCCACUUAACCAAACCUAAUGUAACUUUCAGAGCAACGGCAACCCUCCGAUCCGGCAAGCAAGUUUGCGGCAGCGAUGGCGGUGGCGGCGGCAGUGGUGGUGAGGUGGAUGGCAGGGACAGAGGGGCAGUACAGGCUGCGGACAUCAAGGAGAAGAGGAACGCACGGACAAGCAAGGUGUUAUUCGGCAGUCUGAUCCUGGACCUGCUCGGCUUGAAGGUGGUGCUGCCCGUGUGUCCUGCUCUCCUCGACUGUUACUCCAAGCACAACACCAGCGGCUUGUAUUCCUCUCAGCUCUCCUGUGUGACUUAUUACCAGCAUAUCAUCGGUUUCGCUGCGAGGUUCCAUUCUGUCUUGUUUGGUAAUUGAGUGGGUUUGUUGUGUUUUGUAUUGGUUUAUAUAUUUUUAGCUUGUUUUUAUUAUUAUUUUUUCAAUUUUUUUAUCCUAUUAUCUAUUUAUUUAUUUUUUGUUUGUUUGUUUGUUUACAGGGUGUGUGUGUGUUUGUUUGUGUUCCUGCUGUUCAAUAUUGCAGCUUGUUUUCUUUAUUAUUGUUAUUUUGUGUUUUAUUCUAUUUCAGUGUUCUGAGGGAGUCUUCAGGUGUUUUUGGGGUGUUUUUGGGUGUUUUUGGAGUGUUUUGGGGUGUUUUUGGUGUGUUGUGAAGUGUUUUGAUGUGUUUUGGGGUGGUUAAGGGGUGUUUUGAAGUGUUUUGUGGUGUUGUGGAGGUAUUUUGGGAUUUUUGGUGUGUUUUAAAGUGUUUUGGGAUGUUUUUGGAAUGUUUUGAUGUGUUUUGAGAUGUUUAGGAGUAUUUUUGGAAUAUUUUGGUGUGUUUUUGGAGUGUUUUGGGAUGUGUUUGUAGUGUUUUGGGGUAUUUUGAAGGUGUUUUGGUGUGUUUUUGGAGUGUUUUGGGGUAUUUUGGGAUGUUUUGGUGUGUUUUGGGUUAUUUUGAGAGUGUUUUGGUGUGUUUUUGGAGUGUUUCUGGGUGUUUUGGAGUAUUUUGAGGGUGUUUAAAGGUGUUGUGGUAGUUUAAAAUAUAUUGUUAGUUUACUUUUUUUUAACUUUUUAUUUUCUUAUGCAUUAUUUUAUUUCUUAUUUAUAUUGUGGUGUGUUGUCGGUGUGUCCUAACCUAACCUAACCAGCCUACCCUCUCCUAACCUCCCCUCAACCCACAGGCACUGAUUGGCGUGACAUUCAGCAUAGGCUUCACCGUCGGGCACACUGUGGGGGCUGCGUUCUCCCGCUGGGGAAGUACUGGGUGGUUCGCGGCCUCGGCUGUCUACGCACGCACUCUCACUGUGGCUAACAUAAUAUUCUUUGCUGUCUUCUUCCAGGAAUCGCUGCCUGAGGGCAGAAGGAGGAGGGACAUCGGUGCCAGUUUGACCGAGGCUUGGGAGGUGAUCAAUCCUAGGGCUCUGUUCUCCGUCAGCUGUGUCAAGGGCCUGGGCAGAGAAGCCUGGAGUUAACGCUGAUCUUCGCGACCCACCACAAGCAUAGUUACGACUCGUUGGCGCAGGACCGCAAGUUUUCCUUCCUGGGCCUGGUCAUGGCAAUUACACAGAGAGGGUUUAUGCGAAGUGUUAAGACUGGAACUGAAAAAGCAACUGCCAAUUAGGCACACACCUACAUUGUGAUGCAGCUCCUUGGAGAUGGAGAGCUGGCUGCCUCAGAGGAUCAGGAAACACGAGAGGUUCACAGAGGCUCGCCUCGGGCUUCGGUCGUCAUGAGGAACCUGGGGUCAGCAGUUCACUACGUGCACAGGAAAAGCAUCAGUGUUCACGGAGACCUAAAGCCAGACAGGGGUGAAAAGGGUUGGUGUUGAGGAUAGACAGAAAAGAAAAGAAAAGAAAGGAAAGGUAAAAAAAGGAAGUUUUUUUGCAUUGAUUUUCCAUCUGCUUAUUUUAAAGAAUUUAUUGCAUGGAAUAUUAUUGAUCUCCAUCAUUUGUAUGGCCUUUAUAAUAAAAAGUAUGAAUUUAU